rnacentral:rRNA from 1 species
AGAGCACGAGGUGGAUACCUUGGCUCCACAGGCGAUGAAGGACGUACCAAGCUGCGAUAAGCCAGGAGUAGCUGCUAAGAAGCGAUGAUCCCUGGAUUUCCGAAUGGGGCAACCCCUGAGCCGUCAUGGGCUCAGACUCCACGAUGAAUUCAAUAGUCGUGAGAGAGCGUACCCGGUGAACUGAAACAUCUAAGUAGCCGGAGGAAAAGACAUCAAACGAGAUUCCCGUAGUAGUGGCGAGCGAACAGGGAACAGCCUAAACCGUACGUGUGCAAGCAUUCGGGCGUUGCACGUGCGGGGUUGUACGGCAGCCGUCUUGGAGCCGAAUCUCCAAGCACGAGUAAGAAAAUCGAUUGCUAGUAGAAGCCGGCUGGAAAGCCGCACCACAGAAGGUGAAAGUCCUGUAGGCGAAAUCAAUCGAUCUUGCGGAGUUGUUCGUGAGUAAGGCGGGGCACGAGAAACCCUGUCUGAAGCUGGGAGGACCAUCUUCCAAGGCUAAAUAUUCUGUGGAGACCGAUAGCGAAUCAGUACCGUGAGGGAAAGGUGAAAAGAACCCCCGAAGGGGAGUGAAAUAGAACAUGAAACCGCGUGCUUACAAACCGUGAAAGCACUAUUUUUAUAUGUGUGAUCGCGUGCCUAUUGAAGAAUGAACCUGCGAGUUACUUGGUACGGGCUAGGUUAAGGUGUUGAGCCGGAGCCGUAGCGAAAGCGAGUCUGAAUAGGGCGCUUUGUCCGUAUCAGUAGACCCGAAACCAAGCGAUCUAUCCAUGAGCAGGGUGAAGCAUGAUUAACCUCAUGUGGAGGCCCGAACCUGUUGUUGUUGAAAAAACAUUGGAUGACUUGUGGAUAGGGGUGAAAAGCCAAUCGAACUUGGAGAUAGCUGGUUCUCCCCGAAAUAGUUUGAGGACUAGCGUUACGAUUUAACCCUUGGGGGUAGAGCACUGACAGGGCUAGGGGGCUUACCGGCUUACCGAACCCCAUCAAACUCCGAAUACCGAGGCGGACAUCGUAGCAGUCAGACGGUGGGGGAUAAGCUUCAUCGUCAAAAGGGAAACAGCCCAGACCAACAGCUAAGGUCCCUAAUAUAUGCUCAGUGGUAAAGGAAGUCUCGUCGCACAGACAACUAGGAGGUUGGCUUAGAAGCAGCCACCCUUGAAAGAGUGCGUAAUAGCUCACUAGUCGAGUGAUGGGGCGCCGAAAAUGUAACGGGGCUCAAGCAUAUAACCGAAGCUUUGGGAUUAGCAAAACUAAUCGGUAGGGGAGCGUUGUAGUGUAGGCUGAAGGUCGACCGCGAGGACGGCUGGACGAACUACAAGUGCGAAUGCAGGUAUAAGUAGCGAGAAAAGAGAGUGAGAACCUCUCUCGCCGGAAGUCUAAGGUUUCCUGAGCAACGUCAAUCGUCUCAGGGUGAGUCGGGAGCUAAGCCGAGGCUGAGAAGCGUAGGCGAUGCACAAGCAGUUCAUAUUCUGCUACCACCGAUGACCGUUAGAUCUCUCUCGAACUGUAUAAAUUGAAAUUGCCGCGCCGAUCUCGGCGAGGCGUUUUUGGUUUAUUCGGUUCGGUAGAGAUCUUGAAUCGAAGGGAUGACGGAGUAAGAUAUGUCAGCGCACCGAUGGAUGUGUGCGUUUAAGCUGGUAGGAGGUCACGUAGGCAAAUCCGCGUGGCUAACUCCGAGAAGCGAAUACGAGGGUCUUCGGACCCGAAGUGGCAGACUCUACGCUUCCAAGAAAAGUCUCUAGAUAGGAUCAUAGGUGCCCGUACCGUACACCGACACAGGUAGACUGGCAGAGCAUGCUAAGGCGACGGGAGAACCCCUGUUAAGGAACUCGGCAAAUUGACCCCGUAACUUAGGGAGAAGGGGUGCCUUCUACGGUCUAGUCUUUACGACGAAAGCUGUGGGAGGUCGCAGAAAAUAGGUCCAAGCGACUGUUUAACAAAAACACAGGUCUCUGCGAACGCGAAAGCGGACGUAUAGGGGCUGACUCCUGCCCGGUGCUGGAAGGUUAAAGGGAGAGGUUAGCGCAAGCGAAGCUUUGAUCUGAAGCCCCAGUAAACGGCGGCGGUAACUAUAACCGUCCUAAGGUAGCGAAAUUCCUUGUCGGGUAAGUUCCGACCUGCACGAAUGGAGUAACGACUUGGGCACUGUCUCGAUGGGGGGCCCGGCGAAAUUGCAGUACCAGUGAAGAUGCUGGUUACCCGCGGCAGGACGGAAAGACCCCAUGAAGCUUUACUGUACCCUGAUGUUGGGGUCUGAGAUUUUCUGUACAGGAUAGGUGGGAGGCGAUGAUCCGGCGGCGCUAGCUGUCGGGGAGCCAACCUUGGGAUACCACCCUGAAAAUCUUGGGCUUCUAACUAGCUGCCGU